rnacentral:rRNA from 1 species
GAUGAACGUUAGCGGGAGGCUUAAUACAUGCAAGUCGAGCGGUAAGUUUUUAUAGCAAUAUGAAGACCUAGAGCGGCGCACGGGUGAGUAACGCGUACACGACCUGGCCUAAACUGGGGGAUAGCCUUGGGAAACUGAGAGUAAUCCCGCAUGUGAUUAUGUUACUGAUGGUGAUAUAAUUAAAGCUUCGGCGGUUUAGGAUGGGUGUGCGUCUGAUUAGCUAGUUGGUAGUGUAACGGACUACCAAGGCGAUGAUCAGUA